UUCUUCCGUCUAUAUUUAAAGUAAUACAAGACAUCAGGUAUCAAAAUAUCAUGCUCUACAUUUCUUAUAUUUUCUCCUUAAAAACUCGACUUUUAGUGUAGAAAUGUUUUAGAUCCUAAUUUUAUCGUUUAAAAUCGGAUCUUUAUUAUACAUUAGUUGGAUUUUUUGCUUAAAAAUUCAAUCUUUACUGUAGAAUUGUUCUAGAUCUAUUUAUAUGGUUAAAAAUCAUAUCUUUAUUGUACAUUUCUUACCUUUUUUUGCUUAAAAAUAUAAUCUUUAUCGUAAAAAUGUUCUGGAUUCUAUUUUUAUGUUUAAAAAUCGGGCCUUUAUUAUACAUUACUUGGAAUUUUUGUUUAAAAAUUCAUUCUUUACUGUAGAAAUGUUCUAGACCUUUUUACGGUUAAAAAUUAUAUCUUUCUUAUACAUUACUUCAAUUAUUUUGUUCAAAAGUUCAUUCUUUAGCGUAGAAAUGUUCUAGAUCCUUUAUUAUAUAUUACUCGGAUUUUUUGCUUGAAAAUUCGAUUCAUGCUAUUUUUAUAUGUUACUCAUAGAACUAUGUAUUGUGAAUGCUGGUUUUUAGACGUAAAGAUUAUUGAUAGAAAUAGGAUAAAUCAGAUUGUUCACAUAUUACUAAUGAGUUACUUCUAAUGUGCAUUCUUUAAUAAAGAUCACAGUAUGUUGUGAAGGCUUAUUUUUUAUAAUGAUAUUUUUCUAUCAGUAACGCUGAUUAAACUGUGUGUUGGUAACAUUAUUUUUAUUUUUAUUGAUAUUUUCUGUCCAGAAGUUGUAUCUAAUACUGUCUGAAUUUUGUGAUAUUUCUUUAUGUACAUUUAAGAACUCUUCUGAUAUUCUUCUUCUACCUUCUUUAAUAAAGAACGCAGUGUGUUGUGAAGGCUUAUUUUUUAUGAUAAUAUUUUUCUACCAAUAACGCUGAUUAAACUGUGUGUUGGUAACAUUAUUUUUCUUUUUAUUGAUAUUUUCUGUCUAGAAGUUGUAUCUAAUAGUGUCUGAAAUUUGUGAUAUUUCUUUCUGUACAUUUAAGAACUCUUCUGAUAUUUCUUUAUCUACAUUUCUAAUGAGUUACUUCUAAUCUAAUAAUAGUGUAUGAUAUUAUAAAAUUGUGUAUGAUAUUAUAAAAUGCAUUACUAAUGACUUAUGACAGAUCUCCGAGUUCACUAUAUUGAUACUGUUAGUACCUUAUAUUUUUCAAGUGUGUGUUAGUCUACUAUCUUCUAUAUAAUAAUGUAAAGGAUGGUGAGAUUACAAAAAUACCUAUUACCUAUGACUGACACCUGGCAUUUUAAGGGCUAAAACGGUCAUUCAAAUAUUUUUACUUCUUUAUUAUUAUUAUACAUUUAUUAUUAUUACCGAAAUGGACAUUCCUUUUUUAAUUGACAUUUAAUUUGAAAUUACUCUCUCUCUCUUCAUUCAUUUUUUAUUCUUUUUAUUCUUUUCUAAAUGCUUCUUUCCAUUCAUUAUUCAUUUCAAUUCAUGGUUCAUAUCAUAUCACUCUCUCCCUUUCUCUCUGUCUACAAUUUCAAAUAUGAGACUCUGUAAACCUUCUUUUGAUAUUUUUUAUUCUUUUGGCCACUAUUGUUGAUGAAUCUUAUUUCAUUCUUUUUGAGUUAAGAUAAUAUUUUUUGUAUAAUGUCUCAUUAUACCUUAUUUCGAAUUUCUUGGUGUUAUUUUUGGUAUGUAGGUUUUACAACGUCACUAUCUCACACAAAUAUUGGUAAAAAUGAAUUUUUUUUCUACAAAUUUUAGUUUAAUAUCAUUAGAUCUUGUAGCUUAUCUGCAUUUUUUUGUGCUUCAAUGUCCCUUCAACUGUGUUAUUUUCUCUAUCUAACCCUUUUUUCCCAAUGUUUACUAACAAGUAAACAUUUUUACCUAACAAAGAAACAUUUUUCGUCACUUUUGUUGGAUGAAUCUUAUUUCGUUCUUUUUGAAUUGAAUAUAACAUUUUUUCUCUGAGUUAUGAUUAUAUCUUAUUAUGAAUUUCUUGGUGUUAUUAUUGGUAUAUAUGCAUGUUCACCAUGUAAUCCUCUCAAACUAAUAUUGGUAAAAAUGAAAGUUUUUCUGCAAAUUUUAGUUCAACAUUAUCAGAUCUUAUAAAAAAAUUUCACUUUUGUGCCUCUAUUGUUAUGUUUCACAAUAUAGUGUCCCUUCAAUAUAGUGUCCCUUCAUCUAGCUUGCUUUCUCACGACAUAUUAUUUUUUUCCCUUAUUCUUCUUUAGCGUUAUGGUUUGGAAGCCAAAGAAGAGUUAAAGGUCAUGGAAGCUCCAAAGAUAGAAGAGAUAAGUCAACUACCAAUGGACCAACUACAAGGCUUAUAGUACUGUAUAAGUUCAAACUCAUCUUGGGUUAUGUUAAACAUUAAUCAUGAGAAAAGAUUUUGCAAACUUUUAACACUUGAGUCAAAAUAUUUUGAUACUACUUAGUAAUCAUGAGAAAAGAAUACCAUUGAAACUUAAAAUGUGUAGAUUUUAGGGAAGAUUGACAGUUUUGUGAUUUAGAAUAAAAGGUGAAGGUGAGUAUUGAUGUUUGGGGAAAAUAUCUUUGAUUUCCAAAGUAGUGAAG
rnacentral:lncRNA from 1 species